AAAUCGUUCGACGAGGAUCUAUUGGAGGGCAAGUCUGGUGCCAGCAGCCGCGGUAAUUCCAGCUCCAAUAGCGUAUAUUAAAGUUGUUGCAGUUAAAAAGCUCGUAGUUGGAUCUGGGGUUCGGGUCGGCGGUUUGCCGCUUCGGCGGCUACUGCCGUGCUCGACUCUUACUAGCCGGUGCGUCUUGCGGUGCUCUUCAUCGAGUGCCGUAGGAGCCUGGCAUGUUUACUUUGAAAAAAUUAGAGUGCUCAAAGCAGGCGAUUCCGCCUGAAUAGUGUUGCAUGGAAUAAUGGAAUAGGACCUCGGUUCUAUUUUGUUGGUUUUCGGAACUUGAGGUAAUGAUUAAGAGGGACGGUCGGGGGCAUUCGUAUUUCGGUGUUAGAGGUGAAAUUCUUGGAUCGCUGAAAGACGGACAAAUGCGAAAGCAUCUGCCAAGAACGUCUCCAUUAAUCAAGAACGAAAGUCAGAGGUUCGAAGACGAUCAGACACCGUCCUAGUUCUGACCAUAAACGAUGCCAACUAGCGAUCCGCAGUGGUUGCUAUAAACGGACUCUGCGAGCAGCUUCCGGGAAACCAAAGUGUUUGGGUUCCGGGGGAAGUAUGGUUGCAAAGCUGAAACUUAAAGGAAUUGACGGAAGGGCACCACCAGGAGUGGAGCCUGCGGCUUAAUUUGACCCAACACGGGGAAACUCACCCGGUCCGGACACUGUAAGGAUUGACAGAUCGAGAGCUCUUUCUUGAUUCGGUGGAUGGUGGUGCAUGGCCGUUCUUAGUUGGUGGAGUGAUUUGUCUGGUUAAUUCCGAUAACGAACGAGACUCUAGCCUGCUAACUAGUUGCGCCGUGUUCAUACGCGGCUGUAGACUUCUUAGAGGGACAGGUGGCGUUUAGCCACACGAAAUUGAGCAAUAACAGGUCUGUGAUGCCCUUAGAUGUCCGGGGCCGCACGCGCGCUACACUGAAGGAGUCAGCGUGUGCUAUCCGGGCUCGGAAGAGUUCGGUAACCCGUUGAAACUCCUUCGUGCUUGGGAUUGUGGCUUGUAAUUAUCGCGCAUGAACGAGGAAUUCCCAGUAAGUGCAAGUCAUCAGCUUGCGCUGACUACGUCCCUGCCCUUUGUACACACCGCCCGUCGCUACUACCGAUUGAAUGGUUUAGCAAGGUACUCGGAUUGGUCUCGAUCUUGUACGAAAGUGCGGGAUCUGUGGCCGAGAAGAAGGCCAAACUUGAUCAUUUAGAGGAAGUAAA
rnacentral:rRNA from 1 species